rnacentral:tRNA from 1 species
UCCGAAUUAGUAUAUCGGCUAGUAUGACCGCCUCUCACUGUGAAGUCGCGGUAGAGACGGGUUCGACUCCCGUAUUCGGAA